rnacentral:lncRNA from 1 species
AUUCACGCUUACAAAACUAUCGGCAGCCAAGAAGGCUUGGCAGGCCUAUGGAAAGUAAUUUUCAGAAACUAGAAAAAAAGGAACCACCGUGUAAGAUUACUCGAAACCCAUAUUUCCGGGGAUGGAGCAUAAAACGUAAGUGUGUCUACUGGCCAUCCAAGUCAUUCAAUCGGAAAUUACUCUGUCAUGGGAGCUUAGUAACCAGGCUAGUUUUGUUUUUUUAUUUUUACAGAAAGAAAACUUCUUUUCCAACAAAAUUGUUUGUUUUAAUAUCCAGAAGACAAAAAUGUAAUAUGUUUUCGGAGAGGUAAAGAGGCAGAAAUGUUAUGGGAAGAAAUCAGGAGUUUCAUCCCGUGUUUUUAGAUUAUUAAAUUAUGUAUUAAGUAGAUAUUUGUGGUGGAAGGGCGUUGCUGCCGGCCAAUGCCCAUUAUCGAGAAAAUGGAAGAAGAAUGGCCAAUAAUGAUUAUUUCGAUCUAUUUUUAAAUCUUCGGACAGACAGAGAAAGAUCGAAGAUUUCGAACUCGCUAAAUAUUCGAGAAAUACUACCAAGGUGGAAGAAUAAUCUUCCUGACUUACGAGCGUUUUCAUUUUUCCAUUAUUUUCUGUAUCGUUUUCUUUAAUUCAAAUAUUGUAGCGAUUCCUUCUUUGUAAUUCUUUUUUUUUUUCAUUAAUUUGUAUUGUUCUUGUAUAUUUUUAUUUUUGUUUUUACCAAAAUCACCUUCUGCUAUUAUAUAAAAAUUCAUCCCUUGUUAGUAACACAUCAAAUGUUAUGUUUAGUACCUAAAUAAGAAAAUAGAAAAUGUUUUCAGAGUGUUUUUAAUUAAAAUUUAGAUUCAUUGGUUUAUUUUUUAUUUUACGGCUACCCAUAUCUUUUUUCGACAAGAUUACACUCGAAAUUUUGGCUUUUUUUUUUUUUUUUUUUUUUAAUAGCCUUUUUUUCGCAGCAUGGUACAAUAUGGUGGCAUAUAACGCGAUAU